CCCCAUCACAGUGUGUGCUGGCCCCUCCCUUAGCGGUCAUCACUACCCCUGGCCGUGACCAGUGGGUGUUGUUGAGCCGGACACAGUGUCCCCUUGGCCAGCCCAGGGCCCACCUGGGGAUGCUUCCUGGUGCCCGCGGGGGUUACGCGGUGGCUGUGGGAGGCGCAGGGCUGGGAGCCUGGGUGCUGAGCCCCACCUGUGGUCUGACUACCCUGCAGCGAGCUAGAGGAAUUCAUGGACGACCUGAAGAAGAGGCCCACAGCCACGGUCCAUGCCGUGAUGCUGAAAGACGUGGAGGACGUCCCACCUCCUGCGGCAGGUGGGAGAAGCCGUGGCUGCCCUGAAAGGGGAGUUCCCCACCCUGCAGAACAAGAUGCGUGCGGUCCUGCGCAUCGAGGUGGAGGCCGUGGGCUUCCUGAAGGAGGAGCCGCACAAGCUGGACUGGCUCCUGAAGCGGGUGCGGGGCCUCACAGACGUCCUGAUGGUGCUGCGCAGGUGAGUGGCCGCCCUGCACCGGCUGCGCUGACACGGGGCGCUGGGGUAGGGUGGGGCCACUGGGGUGGGGCGGGGCCACCAGAGAAAAGAAAGGUGGGAUUGGAGGAGCGAGGAGCAGGGCCAAUAGGGAAGAGAAGGGCAGGAUCGGAGGGGAGGGGCCCUGGGGCAGCUGAAGUGAGGCGGGGCUGCUGGAGAAGGGGGCGGGGCUGGAGGGCGGGGCUUCUGAGGUGGAGCGGAGGGGGGGAGACCCCAGUGAAAAGGGCGGGAUAGGAGCAGCCGGGCUGACGGCUGGGCGGGGCCACCAGAGUGGGGCAUGGCCAGGAAGACCUGGGUUGCUGUGUAGGACUCCCCGCCUCUGCCAAGUCCCACCCAUCUCCUUGCUGUCACUCAUCAGGACUCACUUCCGGUGUGCUGAUCAGAAGCCUGGACUCCCUCCUACCUUGAAUUUCUAUUGCUCUAUGAAGUAAGGGCCUAAUUGAGCAACACAGGCUUACUGCACUGUGCCUUCCAGGGCUUAAACUUCAGUAGACAUUUUUUUUUUUAAUAAAGGAGGGAUUUUUUGCA
rnacentral:lncRNA from 1 species